rnacentral:tRNA from 2 species
GCGGGUGUAGUUUAGUGGUAAAACUCCACUCUUCCAAAGUGGUCUCGUCGGUUCGAUUCCGUCCACCCGCUCCA